UUGUUCAUUUGUGCUUCCCACGCUUGGUACUUCUUUCUAACAGACUGGCACUCUGCCCGCAGGCCAAAUUUACCUCAGUCAGCCUUUUCUACCCCGCCAUUUGUUUUAAUUGCACAGUCGUACAUGACAGAGCAAAUGGCAGACAGGUACCUGUAAUCAAACAGUCCGGAGAAUUUAAGCACAUUCGUUCCUUCCCGGAGCAUUCAGUGAGCCCUGACAAUAGGUAAUUUAAAUUCUGGACAACGAGUUUGCAAGCUGCUUCAUUGGCUACGUUUGGAGAAGAGCGGAAAAAAACCCUGGCCCUUUGAUAAUUAGACUGAAUCAGUUUUCAUAAUUCUACUCUACUCACCAGAGUGGUUAGCAAACUUCAUUAUCGGCGGCUUGAUGAGAUAGCUUUCUGCAUGUAAUAUAGAUUUGGCCAGUAAUUUCUUUUUCUGCGAGGAGGAGGCUAAGGCCGUGCCACCAUGGAAGUGUUUCUGAGAUGAGACGGUCUUACAGUUUCGUCAUUGUAAAUAAUUUCAAAGUGGGUGCAGGAUAAAGCAUACAAUUAGUGUUUUGUCUCUGUGAGUGUUUGACCCAGAGAAAGGACAGUGGAUGGUCACAGUUGAAAGCAGCCACCGCAGACUGGUGUAACCUCGCCAGCCUGCAUCUGCUGAGAUUGUAAAUUGAUAUCUUUUCUUUUGCUCUGUGUCUCUGGAACAUUGCCAGUAGCCAAAACCAUGCUCCGUAAUUAAGGGGGAACAUAUCUUUAAGAAAUUUCCAGAAAAAAAGCUGUGUGGCUGAUCUGUCAAGGACUCAGAGCAGCUUGGGUUUCAUCUCUUUGUAAUAGCCAUAAAUUACACUUUGUACAUCUCUCUAACCCAUAAUAGCCUGCAAGCUCCGUCAAGGCAGAGAUGAUUUCCGUCUUUGCUUCUGAAUUCUCAGCACACACAAGAGGCAUAUUGUUGGCUGGGCAAUUGACUGACGUGGAUGAAUACAGUUCUAUAUUGAUAUAUGUUCAAGUUUUGUCUUCUGCCCUCAGCCUGACUCUGUUCUGAGUUAGGACUCUGCAGUUUGUCUGAGACCACACUGCGGUUCAGUUACUAUGGCUGUGGGAUAAACUACCUCAGAGAGGAGUGUGCCGUGUGUAUGUAUGUGCUCGUGCGUGUGUGCGAUGGCCCACAUGAGGAGGUCAGGGUCAGCUUAAAGGAAUGGAUUCUCUCCUUACUCCAUGUGGGCAUCAGGCUUGUCGGCAAGCACCUUUAUAUAUAUCUACUGAGUCAUCUUAGUGACGCCAUGUUUGCUCUUGUUGGGAAUGUUUGGCAGAUUUAUACCUAUCCUAGGAACCCUGAACAUUGUGGGCCAGUUGACCUGGCCCUCGCUGUCUCUUCCUAGCUGUAUGCACUCUUCUAGUUGCCUCUGGAGCAUUUUGGCCUCAGGAUAACUUGGAUUCUUUUUUAAUGUGGCAGCCCAGAACUCUAGUAUUUUUUCCUAAGAGGAAAGAAAAGUGUAAUAGAAAUGAAGAUGCUCAAAGAGGAGACGGAGUUAAACGGGCAAGGGAUAGAAGAGACGAGAGAUGAGGGAGUAUGGUGCGUGUGGUAGGAAAAACAACACACACUGGAGGAGUAAAGAGGGGGAGGCACUCUGAGAUGGGUCUUAAACCAUGCCAUGCUGGAUUUGAGACUCAGGGACCUGGUGGAUAGUAAAUGUAGGGGAGGCUUGCUCUGACUUCCUAUGUCUGCCGAAAGACAAUCUUCUGAAAAAGACCCAACGGUCAUAAAUCUCCUCCCUGGGGCUCCUGUCCAGUAGGGAGGAGUAGAUCCCGGUAUAUGAGGGAAGAAUGGAGGGCACCAUCCCCAGGUAGGGGUCCCCUGUCACAGGCAGGGUCCCCUGUCCACGGGAGAGUCCACUCACUGUUUCCUCAGAUCUCUUACUUUCCUUAUAUAAGUGUUUCUUUGCUGUGUCAAAGUAAUCCAGAGCCCUUAAAAGAAGAAAGCUGUGUCCUUUGUCUCCUUCAUUCCAGUCUGUGGCUGUUUGUUCUUGUUGCCUUGGGCCUGUGCUAGGCAGGGCCUCAUGGUGAAGGGCAAGGGGUGACUCAACUCUAAUCUACUCAUCUUGCUUUGGCCAGGAAGCAAAGAGGGUAAAGGGAGGAGAGAGAGAGAAACAGAGAAACAGAGACAGACAGAGACAGACAGACAGACAGACAGACAGACACACACACACACACACACACACACACACACACACAUGGAGACAGAGACAUAUACAGACACACACACACACAGAUAGAGAGAGACAGAGACUGCAUCUCUGAAUGAUUUUACCCUCUCCCAGUGGUACUAUAGGUCAGAGACCAAGCCUUUAGUGAGUAGACUAUUGGGGAACAUUCAAAAUGUGAACCAUAACAUAUCCCUAACUGCUUGCAUUUCUCUUUCCCUGUUCUCUCUCUCUCUCUCUCUCUCUCUCUCUCUCUCUCUCUCUCUCUCUCUCUCACCAAAUGAUUUUUUCUUUCACAUAACAUUUGUAACAUAUCUGUAUACAUUUUCUUCUCCUACCUUUCUUCUGUCUUGUUUUAGUUUAUUUUACAGACUCAGUUAUUAAAGCCUUAAAAAUCGAGGGACAGGGCUGGGGAUUUAGCUCAGUGGUAGAGCGCUUACCUAGGAAGCGCAAGGCCCUGGGUUCGGUCCCCGGCUCCCAAAAAAAAAAAAAAAUCGAGGGACAGUCUUUCCUUUAUGAUGGAGAAAAGGUUAAUAUUGAAGAAAUGAAGGCUUAGGUUAAACUGUUUUUUUUUUUUCCCUGUACAGUAGUAGAAAGCUUUUUAUAAAAGGUACGUGUUUUACAUUACUCAAAAAAUAUCAGACACAGCACAGGCUCUCAGUUGAAAGGCUGGUAUCAUCAAUAAUGCCAGCCAUUUGUGCCUCUUGAAAUCCUACACCAUAUAUAGUCAGGAAUACAGGAACGAUUCUUGAUGCUCGUGGCAAGAUGACCCUGGUACCCAGGUCCACUUGUGGGAUGUUUGAGAAGUCUCUGGAAGGAUCCAGGCUUCGGCACUGGAACCUGUGUAAGUCUCUUGCGGUCUUCUAACCAUCAGCUUGUUCCAAUGGCCUUCAAAGACCAAAGUGCCGAGAGGCUAGCCCUCUGCAUUCUGCAACGGUCUAGCUAAUUUCGAGUAUUGCCUCUAGACGGUUCUGCCCAGAUGUCCUCUGGGACGAUAACUGAGCAUUUAUGAUUGUGUCUAAAUGGAGCCCUCUAGGUCUGACCUCUAGGGUAAUUCAUUCAGGAAUGUGGGGGUAUGUGUGUAAACAAGCAAGGUUCCUCCUCCCCUUUUCUGGAAGCUUUGCUUUAUGGCCUUGGCACCAAGACUUGCUGGGAGGGAAUAAAUACUACUCAUUCCUUCCUAGACAAGUACAAAUAGAUGAGGAGAUUACAUGGCACACUCAAUAAAUAUUCGUGUCAUGUAUGUAAAGUACCUUUUGCUGCUGAACACAACCCACAAGGAGGAACCAACAAAACGGUUCUCGAGAAAGUUGGCUUGCUUUUCUUGUCUCAGUGAGUGUAGGGCAUGUUUCACGGAUGCAAAAAACAUAUUUCCUCGGCGAAGGAGAUGUUCACACUUUAAAAUCGAGGAGAGUGCAAAUGAGAUUUUUUUUUUCUUAAUUGGUUUCAGUACAGGAGGAGGAAAUGCUUUUGCAGAUUUGUGAGUUUUCUGGCUUUCCUUUUGGUUUGUUUGUUCCUUCCUUUUUGAACUUGUAAUUAUGAGGAGCUUCUUCUCAGCCCCUGAAAGUGGGUCAGCUGUGGGUAAAGCAAUCAUGUCAGUAUUUCUGAACCCCGAUCAUCUCCAAGAGGCACCGAGGAGCCUGUCAUUCUUGGUUAGUUCAGGUGAUGUGACUCUACACUAAGCCCUGUUGCCAUCUGCACAUCCUUCAAGUGUGGUGGCACUGUGCAGGGCUCUGGUGAAGUGUCAGAGCUGGGGAGGUGUCCCAGAGGGUAAGAUCACUUCCUUUUCAAGCACAAAGCCCUGAAUUGAAAUCCUCAUGUAAGAAGUCAGGAGUGGUGAAGUCCGUGCCCAUAGCCUGUCAAUGGCGGAGACAGGAUUGCUGGUGUGUGUUGGCCACUACCUUAGCUCCACAUUCAGUGAAAAAGACCCUGCCUCAAGGGAAUAAAGGUGAGAAUGAGAGAACAAAGUACCCGGCAUCAUCUUCUCAUGGCUGUGUGCAUGUGCAUGCACGGGCACACACACUUAACACACAUGUGCAUGCAAAUUCAAAAGGAGUAUAUGUUAGAACGUUUUCCUUCUAGCUCGUUCCUUAAUUAAUUGUAUAAGCUUUGGCCAAGGUCUAUAAACCACAGGCUUCUUUUCUCUAAAUAGAAGUGAUGAGAGCAUCUCUCUGUGAGGUCAAGGAUAGCACAGAGAGGAGCGGGAAAGAGUAUGAACACGAGGUUGGAUUGGGUUGUCCCGUGUUUACACCUCUGUUCCCUGUCAGCUACAGAAUCACUGACUAAGCUGUUAACCUCUUGGCCCUAACUUUCCAACAUGGAGGACAGAACCAACCAGGACCUGGCUCAUGGAGAUGCUAUAAUAGUUUAACAAGUGGUAAACUAUUAUAGUUAAUGUGGAGAAUCCAGCAAGCCCAAGAAGGAGGUUGGAAGAGGUGUGGCUGUGCAAGCCUGUACUGGGGAUUAUCCCAGUGGCAGACGACUCAGCCUGUUGCUCUUCCAGAAUCUGUUCAACUAUUUUUCAUGCCAGGACAAGAGUUAAAAUGAUUUUUUUGAUUGUUUACUGCCUUACCACACAAAACAACCAAUCAAAAUAAGCCAGACCUUAGCGUUGCUGUCAUACAAACACAGUUCCUGUCCAGAAUCAAGUAUCGGCCAGUCAAAACUGAGACGAUUCAGUCCUUUGUAUGGUGAGGACCAAAAGGAGGGCAGAUGCCACAUUAAGUCACAUGGUUCAGCAUCUCCAGAUAGGUUAUUCCACCAUGCCUGUCCCCGAUGCUGUCUUCCAGUGAACUCAACUAGUAAGCUAGUGUUUUUCUGUCCUGAUGUGACGUUGUGGACUCUUUUGCCACACUUAAGGUAAGGCUUAUGGUUCAGCAGAGCUCAGAAACUAUCAGUCCUGUUGGAAACAGAAACGAAGGUCAGUAUGGAAAAAAGUUGGCGGGACUUUAGGGAGAAUAAAUGACACAGAUACAAGAUAUUCAAGAUACAAGAUUAUUUUGUAUGGUAUUUUGAGUUCUUAGACAGGUUCCUUGGAUGGGUGUCUAUAUUGUCUGUGAAGAUUGAUAGUCACUAGAGAAUGAAUCCUUUAAUCUUAAGAUAGUGUGUUUUGGUUAUUUAUUGCCAAUUAAAUCACUUGCCAAUUUCACUGAUAAAAAUACCAGUUCUUUGGGUUAACUAGGCAAUUUUUGCUUCCUGUGAUGGAGGGAUUUGAUUGGGGGAUAAGUUGAGGGAGUCAUUUAGCAUGGCAGGCAGUUUGUAUUAGCUGUUGACAGGGAACAUAGAAGGGAUGGCCCACUCUCAAGUCUUUGUCCCACAUAUUUCCUCUGUGUGGUUUUAGUUUCUCACAGUACAUGCUUAGGUUCCAAGAGAUAGGUUCCAGAGAAUGGGAAUAGCCAGCUCUCCUAAUCCCCAGGCUCAGAGUUUUAUAGUAUUCCGACAAUUUGAUGUGAGCAAAGUCAAAGGUUUCUCAUGCUACAUUAAAAACAUCAGGGCGGGGCUGGGGAUUUAGCUCAGUGGUAGAGCGCUUACCUAGGAAGCGCAAGGUCCUGGGUUCGGUCCCCAGCUCCGGAAAAAAGAACAAAAAAAAAAAAAACAAAAAAAAACAAACAUCAGGGCAUGCUUUUAUGUGAGAAGUGAAGACAAAUGUAACAGAAUAUUCUGGGAACGAUUGGUCUUUCCGGCUCCUCAUUAUAGAUUCAUUGGCUGUGUAUGGUGAAGGAACCUUGUGAGGGCAGCUGAAAUUCAAAUGACCUGUCCAUAUACCUCCUACAGAGUGUGGCCUGUAUUCUAUAGGUAGUUAUUGGAGACUGUCGCUCAUCUUUUCUGGUUGGAAUAUUUUAGUAGCAUCUGCAAGACAUUAUUUAGAAAAAGGCCACCACCUUUGGCUCUGGCAUGUAUUAAUUAGCAACAAAAGCAGUUUGUGUUUAAUUUAAUGAUAGCGGAAGGCUUGUUGCACACAUUGGUGAUAUGCCACGAAGUGAAGGAUUUCUGGGCAGAUUUUCUCUUCAUGUCUUUUGUCUUUCACAGCUGUCGUUGAGUGUGGUUUUUGGAGAUCAUAACUCUCCCUUUUCAAUGACACAUUUUUAAAAUUGCAUUUGUUUGUCUACCUUGUGGGUUUGUAGGUAGGCACUCAUGCCAUGGUGCAUAUCUUGAGGCAGAAGAUAGCCUGUGUGUGGGCUUGAGUCAUUUCGCAGUAGGGGCCAUGGGGAUUGAACUCAGGUCGUCAGUACUGGUCCCAGACUUGUGCCAAGAGUCUUUAUUGGCUGAGCAUUUUGCCAGCCCACUCUUCUCUUUUCAUUUCAUCUUUCCCCCCGCAGUGCAGUCAAUGUUGUAUUUGGAGUUUAUUUAUUUUCAUCUUGCAUGCUUUUAUUUUUGCACUGUGUAAACACUUUUGGAGGUCCAAUCAAUCCCACCUCAUUUCAAUGGUUGGCAGCCUGAUGACUGGGUCACUGUGUGGUUGUGUUUUCUCCCAUAGUAAUCUCAGAAGCUUCCCCCAAGAUACUAAUAUGUCACUGAGGUACUGAUCCACAGAAAGAGGAAAUACAACUUGUAUUCUUAAAAGUUGCUAAACGUUGAGAAAAAUUUGACGAAUAAUUGGUGAGAGAAUGGUUUGAAACCUGGGGCAGUAAGACCCAACUAUGAUUAUCAGAAUAGCUGCCUACAAUAGAACCGAGGACCAGAGUACAAAAUGUCUUUGUAUUUAAGAAGUCUUAAUUGAUUAUGUUAUUUUUUAAAAUAUUUAUUUAUUAUGAUCAUGUGUGUGCAAUAUGUUUGAGUGUGGACAUGUGUGCCACAUGCCUGUGGAAGUCAGAGGACAGCCAGCCCUGUGCAGUUGGUUCUGUCCCUUUUUGAUCUGGAGGCGGAAUUCAGGUCAUCAGGCCCUUGUACUUUAUGAGCAUCUCACCGGACAAGAAGAGUGGUUUUAAAGUGCCAAAUGGAAGACGCUGGCUAUGGACAGAUAAGAAUAAAGGAAUGGGAAACAACCAAAGGAUGGAUGGAACAUUUCUAAGUGACAUUGAUCACACAGUGAUGGAAUAUUAGGAAACAGCCCGAUUGGCUCAUGUCAGAUGACUUCACACCAUUUCUAUGUAAUAUUGAAAGACAUUUUGCAUCGAUUACUACUGUACUUCGUUCUUCCAAACAAGAACAGAGUUCUUAUGAGUGAACAGGUCUGCAGCUGCUGAUUCGUGUGUGGUGUUUGCUACUGGACUGGACUGAGAACAACCAAGAUUGGAAUUGCCCCAAAGGACUAUGUCUAAACAGAAGAACAGAGCUCUUACGAUAAGCUGGGGACCGAACCCAGGGCCUUGUGCUUAACUUUUCCUUUUCAAAGCAAAAGUUUUGUGUUGACAUUUAUGUCCUUAAUGCGUCUGGAGUUGGGCUUGGCAGAUGAUGUGAUGAAGAAAUCCAAGUCUUCCCGGACUACAAGUAUAUCUGCUUAUUGCUCCACUUACUUAUUUUUAUUUUUAAAUUAAAAUUUUAUUUAUGUC